ACGGAGGAUGCAAGCGUUAUUCGGAGUUACUGGGCGUAAAGGGCCUGUAGGCGGAUUAUUAAGUUAGUUGUUAAAUUUCACGGCUCAACUGUGAGAAUGCAGCUAAUACUGAUAAGCUAGAGCAUAGAAGAGAGAGGUGGAAUUCCCGGAGUAGCGGUAAAAUGCGUAGAUCUGGGGAGGAACACCAGUUGCGAAGGCAGCUUCUUGGUCUAUUGCUGACGCUAAAGUGCGAAAGCGUGGGGAUCAAACAG
rnacentral:rRNA from 1 species